rnacentral:tRNA from 1 species
GGAGUAUAGCUCAGUGGUAGAGUGCAUGCUUGGUGUGCAUGCACACACAAGGUCCUGUGUUCAAUCUCCAGUGCCUCCA